GAUGAAGAACGUAGCGAAAUGCGAUAAGUAGUGUGAAUUGCAGAAUUCAGUGAAUCAUCGAAUCUUUGAACGCACAUUGCGCCCUUUGGUAUUCCAAAGGGCAUGCCUGUUCGAGCGUCAUUUGUACCCUCAAGCUUUGCUUGGUGUUGGGCGUCUUGUCUCUAGCUUUGCUGGAGACUCGCCUUAAAGUAAUUGGCAGCCGGCCUACUGGUUUCGGAGCGCAGCACAAGUCGCACUCUCUAUCAGCAAAGAUCUAGCAUCCAUUAAGCCUUUUUUUCAACUUUUGACCUCGGAUCAGGUAGGGAUACCCGCUGAACUUAAGCAUAUCAAUAAGCGGAGGA
rnacentral:misc_RNA from 1 species